rnacentral:rRNA from 1 species
GGUGAGUAACACGUAGGUAACCUACCCCUGAGUGGUGGAUAACCCUCCGAAAGGAGGGCUAAUACAGCAUAAGACCACGAUUCCUUCGGGAGUCGUGGCCAAAGCGGGCCUCUUCACGAAAGCUCGCGCUUGGGGAUGGGCCUGCGGCCCAUCAGCUAGUUGGUGAGGUAACGGCUCACCAAGGCUAAGACGGGUAGCUGGUCUGAGAGGAUGAACAGCCACACUGGAACUGAGACACGGUCCAGACUCCUACGGGAGGCAGCAGUGGGGAAUCUUGCGCAAUGGGCGAAAGCCUGACGCAGCGACGCCGCGUGAGUGAUGAAGGCCCUCGGGUUGUAAAGCUCUGUGGGGAGAGAAGAAUAAGUGCGGGCUAAUAUCCCGCAUGAUGACGGUAUCUCCUUAGCAAGCACCGGCUAACUCUGUGCCAGCAGCCGCGGUAAGACAGAGGGUGCAAACGUUGUUCGGAAUUACUGGGCGUAAAGCGCGUGUAGGCGGCAGGGCAUGUCGGAUGUGAAAGCCCAUGGCUCAACCAUGGAAGUGCACCCGAAACUGCCCAGCUCGAGUCUCGGAGAGGAAGGCGGAAUGCUUGGUGUAGAGGUGAAAUUCGUAGAUAUCAAGCAGAACACCGGUGGCGAAGGCGGCCUUCUGGACGAUGACUGACGCUGAGACGCGAAAGCGUGGGGAGCAAACAGGAUUAGAUACCCCGGUAGUCCACGCCCUAAACGAUGUCUACUAGUUGUUGGAAGGAGUGAAAUCCUUUAAUAACGAAGCUAACGCGUGAAGUAGACCGCCUGGGGAGUACGGUCGCAAGAUU